GAUGAACGCUGUCUACAGGCUUAACACAUGCAAGUCGAGGGGAAACGACGGGGAAGCUUGCUUCCCCGGGCGUCGACCGGCGCACGGGUGAGUAACGCGUAUCCAACCUGCCUCUGACUGAGGGAUAACCCGUCGAAAGUCGGCCUAAUACCUCAUGGCAUCGUCUGCGGGCAUCCAACGACGAUUAAAGAUUUCAUCGGUCAGGGAUGGGGAUGCGUCUGAUUAGCUUGUUGGCGGGGUAACGGCCCACCAAGGCUACGAUCAGUAGGGGUUCUGAGAGGAAGGUCCCCCACAUUGGAACUGAGACACGGUCCAAACUCCUACGGGAGGCAGCAGUGAGGAAUAUUGGUCAAGGGGCGGGAGCCUGAACCAGCCAAGUAGCGUGCAGGAUGACGGCCCUAUGGGUUGUAAACUGCUUUUAUGCGGGGAUAAAGUGAGGGACGUGUCCUUCAUUGCAGGUACCGCAUGAAUAAGGACCGGCUAAUUCCGUG
rnacentral:rRNA from 1 species